UACGGGGGGGGCAAGCGUUGUUCGGAAUUACUGGGCGUAAAGGGUGCGUAGGCGGUUCGCUAAGUUGGAUGUGAAAACUAUGGGCUCAACCCAUAGCUUGCAUCCAAUACUGACGGACUAGAGUUCUGGAGGGGGUAGCGGAAUUCCUGGUGUAGCGGUGAAAUGCGUAGAUAUCAGGAGGAACACCGGUGGCGAAGGCGGCUACCUGGACAGAGUCUGACGCUGAGGCACGAAAGCUAGGGGAGCAAACAGG
rnacentral:rRNA from 1 species